rnacentral:rRNA from 1 species
CCUACGGGAGGCAGCAGUGAGGAAUAUUGGUCAAUGGACGAGAGUCUGAACCAGCCAAGUAGCGUGAAGGAUGACUGCCCUAUGGGUUGUAAACUUCUUUUAUAUGGGAAUAAAAUGUUCCACGUGUGGGAUUUUGUAUGUACCAUAUUAAUAAGGAUCGGCUAACUCCGUGCCAGCAGCUGCGGUAAUACGGAGGAUCCGAGCGUUAUCCGGAUUUAUUGGGUUUAAAGGGAGCGUAGGUGGAUUGUUAAGUCAGUUGUGAAAGUUUGCGGCUCAACCGUAAAAUUGCAGUUGAAACUGGCAGUCUUGAGUACAGUAGAGGUGGGCGGAAUUCGUGGUGUAGCGGUGAAAUGCUUAGAUAUCACGAAGAACUCCGAUUGCGAAGGCAGUUCACUGGACUGCAACUGACACUGAGGCUCGAAAGUGUGGGUAUCAAACAGGAUUAGAUACCCUAGUAGUC